UACGUAGGGGGCAAGCGUUGUCCGGAUUUAUUGGGCGUAAAGAGCGUGUAGGCGGCCAGGUAGGUCUGGUGUGAAAACUCGAGGCUUAACCUCGAGACGCCGGCUGAAACCCUCUGGCUAGAGUCCGGAAGAGGAGAGCGGAAUUCCUGGUGUAGCGGUGAAAUGCGCAGAUAUCAGGAGGAACACCGGUGGCGAAGGCGGUUCUCUGGGCCUUACCUGACGCUGAGGAGCGAAAGCCAGGGGAGCAAACGGG
rnacentral:rRNA from 1 species